UUGCUAUGAUGACUUAUCUUAGGACACCUUUGGAAUAAACCAUGAAAACACAUUGUUCUGAGCAAC